rnacentral:rRNA from 1 species
GACGAACGCUGGCGGCGUGCUUAACACAUGCAAGUCGAACGGAAAGGCCCUGCUUUUGUGGGGUGCUCGAGUGGCGAACGGGUGAGUAACACGUGAGUAACCUGCCCUUGUCAUUGUGAUAACUUCAGGAAACUGGGGCUAAUACCGGAUAGGAGCUCCUGCUGCACGGUGGGGGUUGGAAAGUUUCGGCGGUUGGGGAUGGACUCGCGGCUUAUCAGCUUGUUGGUGGGGUAGUGGCUUACCAAGUGUUUGACGGGUAGCCGGCCUGGGAGGGUGACCGGGGACAUUGGGCCUGAGAGACGGACCAGAAUCCUACGGGCGGCAGCAGUGGGGAAUAUUGCGGAAUGGGCGGAAGCCUGAUGCAGCGGCGCCGCGUGCGUGAUGACGGCCUUCGGGUUGUGAACCGCUGUCGCCUGUGACGAAGCGUGAGUGACGGUAAUGGGUAAGGAAGCACCGGCUAACUACGUG